GAUGAACGCUGGCGGCGUGCCUAACACAUGCAAGUCGAACGGACAUUUUUUGGAAAGCUCUUCGGAACUGGAAUCUAAAUGUUAGUGGCGGACGGGUGAGUAACGCGUGAGCAAUCUGCCUUUCAGAGGGGGAUAACAGCCGGAAACGGCUGCUAAUACCGCAUAAUGCAACGGAAUCGCAUGACUCUGUUGCCAAAGAUUUAUCGCUCUGAGAUGGCCUCGCGUCUGAUUAGCUAGUUGGCGGGGUAACGGCCCACCAAGGCGACGAUCAGUAGCCGGACUGAGAGGUUGGCCGGCCACAUUGGGACUGAGACACGGCCCAG
rnacentral:rRNA from 1 species